ensembl:lncRNA
GAACUGCACACAGAUGGCUGCUGGGAUCACCUGACGGCGAGUCCUCACUCAGCUGCCGGGUGGCUGUGUGCCUGGAGCAGCCAGAGCUUUUGAAGUAGCUCAGCUGACCUGGGCCUGCAGUGCCCCCCAGAAGCGCUGGUCCUCCCUCCUCUUUGUUGCAGAAAUGACUUCUGAAGCUCGCAGACCAGCUGAAAGCUAAUCUGUCUUUUCUUUCUUUGGUAGGGUUAGCUUUCAGGCAGAUCAAUCGCCUGAUCCAGCUGACUGCAUGGCUGCUCAAGCCCCAGUGUCAGUGCGAGAGGCAGCUGUAUCACACCACAGAUUUGGGGAGGGCUGCUCGGCCUCUUGGCAUGUGCAGGCACAGGAGGAGAUCUGUGAGCUGCUUGUAGAAAUGAGGACCUGGUGCACUGCUCUGCCUUCCUUGCCUCUGUGCUGCCUGGGGAAAGAGCCACCCACCUCAGUGGUUUCCCGCAUCAAAUACUAAUGAGUACUGGGGUGUUUUUUUCUUUUUAUUAUUAUUAUUUUUUCCCCUCUACCCUUGUUGAUAGGUUUGUUGUUGUCUUGAUAGUGUUCUGAUACAGAUUUUCUUGCCCUAGCCUGGAAAUGUAAUUUCUUGCAAAACUAAAUAGAUUAGUCCGUAGAUCUGUCUCCUAGACAAAGAUACUAUUCCCAUUGAAUCUGAAUGAGCACUAAGAUCCCCUUGAUUCCAGAUUCAGUUUUUAAUGCCGUCAGUGCUAUUCUGUGAGUAAACUGCAAGCAAACUGCUGAAAUGAGUAGACUAUGUCUUCCAGAGGUGUCUCUGACCUCUGUGGGCUUUUCUGUGGCUCAUCAAGGACUCUUGCAUCUGAAAGCAGAGAGCUGAAGCCCCAAGGCCUUGACUUGAUCAUCAACUGAAAGCUGUUGUUUUGGAAACUGAGCUUCUUGGUGGAAACUGCACCAGUCUUCAUUUUGACAUAUAACUAUUACACUUACUUAAGUUUCCAUAACUGAGGAAAUACAGCAAACUAAAACAGGGAAUGUGGUGAGAGCAUUAUUGUCAGGUGAACUGGCAUGCUUUGGGAUCAUCUCUUGAACAGAAAGUGUCUGGAGGGCCUAGUAGGUACAAAGAGGAGGAAUCAUGUUCAGCUUCUGCGGGUUUUAGUUAGAGAUCUUCAUCCCAACCCACCUAUGAAUUUAUCUGGAUGUGAUGGAGAAAAGGGAAGAUCUUCUGUGGAAGCAGCUGUGGUUUGGACCAGCUACUGCUCCAAUCUGUUCAUUAUGAUAGAGAUGGUUGGGGCUGGUGGGGCGAUCGCUGCCGCUCCAACAUGGCCUGCACCUCGAGGGACUCCACACCAAGCACUGCAGGCCUCCGGGCUGAGACACAGGUGCAUCGAACUUGCCUGGUGCCUCAGCCAUUCCUCCUGUUCAAAUGCAUUUGAAUUUUGUGCAGAAGUUGCUGAGAAGUCUUGCUGCAGUACUCCCUGAAGGAGCUGCAGUGAUGAAGAAGGACCAGAGAUACCCCAUAUCCUCCUGCAUACCUCAGCCUUGCUCCUGAGCCAUGGUGAACUGCAUGCAGUACUAAUGGAGUGUCUUUCCACAGAGUGCCUUAGGACUUGAGUCAGGCUAUAUCCACAAUGGUGUUGUCCAGCAAUGUAAAAUAACUUCAGUGAUAUAUUUAAUUACUGUUGUCUGGUUACUAUGCUUCAAAAGUCUGGAAUAUAACUUAAGAGUUGUUCCAUUAGCCAUCAGUGUAGUCUUACCGGUAUUGUGCUUCCACACCAUUUUGUGAAACAGUAAAGUUCAGUGGCCAUAAAAUGGCGUCAGCAA